rnacentral:rRNA from 1 species
AACCAACCACGAAAAGCGACCCUAACUGGAGCCCCAAACAACGUGAUUCCUGGCAUAAGUGUCUUCGGUUGGGGCGACCACGGGAGAUAGCACAGCUCCCGAGUGGAUGGGGGACACCCUAAAACCCAGAGCCACAGCUCUAAGUCACAAAACAUUUGACCAAUAAUGAUCCGGCUUAAUGCCGACCAACGGACCA